rnacentral:rRNA from 1 species
UACGGAAGGCAGCAGUGGGGAAUAUUGCACAAUGGGCGCAAGCCUGAUGCAGCCAUGCCGCGUGUAUGAAGAAGGCCUUAGGGUUGUAAAGUACUUUUCAUCGGGGAGGAAAAACAAAACUAAUAAUUUUAUUUUCUUUGACGUUACCCGAAAAAGAAGCACCGGCUAACUCCGUGCCAGCAGCCGCGGUAAUACGGAGGGUGCUAGCGUUAAUCAGAAUUACUGGGCGUAAAGAGCACGUAGGUGGUUUUUUUAAGUUCAGAUGUGAAAUCCCUGGGCUUAACCUGGAACUGCAUUUUGAAACUGAAAUACUAGAGUAUCGUAGAGGGAGGUAGAAUUCUAGGUGUAGCGGUGAAAUGCGUAGAUAUCUGGAGGAAUACCUGUGGCGAAAGCGGCCUCCUAAACGAAUACUGACACUGAGGUGCGAAAGCGUGGGGAGCAAACGAGGGAUUAGAUACC